rnacentral:rRNA from 1 species
UACGUAGGGGGCCAGCGUUGUCCGGAAUCAUUGGGCGUAAAGGGCGCGUAGGCGGUCCGAUAAGUCCGCUCUGAAAGCCCGGGGCUCAACCCCGGGAGGCGGGCGGAUACUGUCGGGCUAGAGUCCGGAAGAGGCAAGUGGAAUUCCUGGUGUAGCGGUGAAAUGCGCAGAUAUCAGGAGGAACACCGAUGGCGAAGGCAGCUUGCUGGGACGGUACUGACGCUGAGACGCGAAAGCGUGGGGAGCAAACAGG